rnacentral:lncRNA from 1 species
GUCGUCCCACUCCAAACCUAGAGGUGGGACAACCCCAGCAUCCUGGGCGUGAACGCACCCAGCUUGAUUGUCACAUGGGGAAUAGAGACCUCGCGCCUGCCUGGCAUAGGCCAACCCAGUAAUGUUCAUUUAAAGCUGGCUUUACUAGUCCUUCUUCCACAAUGAGAGGUGACCCUUCACUUCACCGAGAAAGGAAGGAAGAAAGCAUAAUAUUUCAUCGCGUGAAGAGGCCAUGAUUUCUCCGUUCCGCUGAGGAUCGAUUGAGCUGUUUCCAGUUUGGGGCGCGAUGAACAAUGCCGCAGUGAGGAUUCUUG